rnacentral:rRNA from 1 species
UACGUAGGGGGCGAGCGUUGUCCGGAUUUAUUGGGCGUAAAGAGCGUGUAGGCGGCCAGGUAGGUCUGCUGUGAAAACUCGAGGCUCAACCUCGAGACGUCGGCGGAAACCAUCUGGCUAGAGUCCGGAAGAGGAGAGUGGAAUUCCUGGUGUAGAGGUGAAAUUCGUAGAUAUCGGGAGGAACACCGGUGGCGAAGGCGGCGAUCUGGGUCGAUACUGACGCUGAGGUGCGAAAGCGUGGGGAGCAAACAGG